rnacentral:rRNA from 1 species
GACGAACGCUGGCGGCGUGCUUAACACAUGCAAGUCGAACGGAGUGGCGAACGGGUGAGUAACGCGUAAUCAACCUGCCCUUCAGAGGGGGACAACAGUUGGACACGACUGCUAAUACCGCAUACUGAAGGAGGGGAUUGCGGUUGUUUAGCUCGUUGGAGGGGUCACGGCCCACCAAGGCGAUGGUCAGUAGCCGGUCUGGGGGGAUGAACGGCCACAUUGGGACUGAGACACGGCCCAGACUCCUACGGGAGGCAGCAGUGGGGAAUCUUCCGCAAUGGGCGAAAGUCUGACGGAGCAACGCCGCGUGAGUGAUGACGGCCUUCGGGUUGUAAAGCUCUGUUAAGCGGGACGCGGUACCGGAAUAGAAAGCCACGGCUAACUACGUGCCAGCAGCCGCGGUAAUAC